UACGUAGGGUGCAAGCGUUGUCCGGAAUUAUUGGGCGUAAAGAGCUCGUAGGCGGUCUGUCACGUCGGCUGUGAAAACUCGGGGGCUCAACCCCGAGCCUGCAGUCGAUACGGGCAGACUAGAGUGCUGUAGGGGAGACUGGAAUUCCUGGUGUAGCGGUGAAAUGCGCAGAUAUCAGGAGGAACACCGGUGGCGAAGGCGGGUCUCUGGGCCGAUACUGACGCUGAGGAGCGAAAGCGUGGGGAGCGAACAGG
rnacentral:rRNA from 1 species